rnacentral:rRNA from 1 species
CCCAACGCCGAGUCUGAUGGAGCACGCCGCGUGAGUGAUGAAGGUUUUCGGAUCGUAAAACUCUGUUGUAAGGGAAGAACACGUACGAGAGGAAAUGCUCGUACCUUGACGGUACCUUACGAGAAAGCCACGGCUAACUACGUGCCAGCAGCCGCGGUAAUCAGGGUAGCUUGAUUUCCCCUUCAUUUUUGUUUUAUUAUUUACAGCUGCAUGAUGUGGGAAAGAAUAUAAUGAUUUUUUUUCCAGAAACCAAAAAAAUAAUUGAUUUAAAGA